AGGGCUGCUGGCAAAUUCGAGAGGAAGGAAGAUCAAGUGCCAGGGAACUCACAAGUGUGGGCAGCAUGCCACAGGAGGGGUACGUUUUCGCCAACACCCAUCUGAGUGAGUUUGAUAGUAAUUCCUCCCACAAGG
rnacentral:snoRNA from 1 species